UACGUAGGUGGCAAGCGUUGUCCGGAUUUACUGGGCGUAAAGCGCGCGCAGGCGGGCUGGUCAGUCCGGGGUGAAAUCUCACGGCUCAACCGUGAGCGGUCCCCGGAUACUGCCAGUCUUGAGGUGUCUAGAGGAGAGCGGAAUUCCCGGUGUAGUGGUGGAAUGCGUAGAUAUCGGGAAGAACACCAGUGGCGAAAGCGGCUCUCUGGGGACCACCUGACGCUGAGGCGCGAAAGCGUGGGGAGCGAACCGGAUUAGAUACCCGGGUAGUCCACGCCGUAAACGAUGAGCACUAGCUGUCGGGGGUAUCGACCCCCUCGGUAGCGCAGCUAACGCGAUAAGUGCUCCGCCUGGGGACUACGGCCGCAAGGCUA
rnacentral:rRNA from 1 species